UACAUUCCAGAUGAAUUCCAGAGGUUCUCGCUGCCUCUGGACACUGCAGCGCAUAACGGUCAUCUGGAGCAGCACCACAAAAAGUCCCUCUCCAGCACAUGACUUAAUCAUGCAGAUGUCCUUAACUUUUUAAAAUUUCUCCACAUGACCAUAUAAUCCUGCCAUUACAGUAACUUUAUUUUCAUCAAAGCUAACAUGGAGCCUGCAAGACCAUGUUGCACUGUGAGGCUCCAGAUGCAUGAACAAUAAUAUACUGUAAUGCUAAAUAUCCAUAAGAAGAACAGAGAACAGAUUCAGUGUUGUCAGCUGGCAUGGCAUAAAUAUAUUCUUUGUUUUUGUUGAAUCCAUGGUGAUCCAUCAGAUGAUGUGUGAUGUUUAUCACAAGGAGCACAAAGAAUAUAUAAAUAUGAACUAAAGGCAUUGUUUGAGCCACAUGCUAUUGUAUGAACCUAGACUACCCAAGCAGUACUUUUUACUUUUUUACUGGAAUGUAGGCUGCAUGGUGAAUUAGUGGUUAGCAUGUAGGCCACACGGUCAGGAGAUCAAGAAGAUGGGUUCCAUUCUCCACUUGGAUAUCUCUAUGUGGAGUUUGCAUGUUCUCCCUGCACAUGCGUGGGUACUCUAGUUUUGCUAUAUCUAUUUUAUUUUAAUUUGAAAUGCUUCAACUUAAAAAAAAAUCUGUACUUUUGUAUUAUUUAUUUACUAUUUUAUUGUUUUAAUAUGUCAUCUUUUUAUUAUUAAAAUAAACUUUAAAAUUUUAGUAUGUGUAUUGUGCAUUUUAGAACAUGUUUUGCGUUUUUGUUUAAGUUGUAAACUAAGAAAACAACCGUCAAUUGAUUAUGAUGUCAUAUGUAGGCGACGUUACCGACAGGCCUUCUUUACCCUGAUUGGUUAAUAACUCAAUUAGCUUCACCUGGACCUUACACCUCCGAGCAUAAGCGAGCUAAGCAUCAACUACCUGGCAAUGUUUUGCAACGAAAACAUGAAUAAUUCCACUUUGUUUUUAUUUAUAAUAGCCAUUUAUGCCUUCCACCUCUGCGGGUCCAUGUCAACAGUGUCGCGGGGGGGCAGUAAUUUCCCCCACGGAAACCAGGAGUCAGCCUCAACCGUGCGAGGACUCGUUAAACAAUAUACACACCGCGGCUCCCUGGAUAGUCAGCUUGCCCAAGGAAGAAAACUACGCGAAUCUGAAGCAUCUUAUGUGAAACAUCUUUCAAAGUCCAGUAAGCCAGAAGAUGAUAAACCUGUUACCCAGAACAUCGUGUCAUGGAGCUGGACCAAUGGUACAGUAACCACACAGCAAAGAGUGGCUCACACUAAAGAUGGAUUUCAAGGAGAUGUCGCAGGAUUUCAUGGAGUUCAUGGCAAGGCACUGGUGCCAUCAUCUGUCUCCUUUCCACAUGUCUCUGAGUGGCUGGCAAUGAACCCUGUGCUAAUGUGUUAUCACGAUGCCAUGACAUUCACAGCCUACAGACAAGCAUUCACACAACUCUUUGUGGACACAGGGAGAGCUUAUCCUCUCUCCCUGCUACAGUUACCUCCAAAUUGUGGUUACACUGUGAGGACAUCCAGCACUGACCUUCAAAUGAUUGUGCCGUAUGAUGCAUGCUACAUUACCCAGGAGAAUGGCAGUUAUGUGCUUCCUAUGCUUUGGUGGAACAGCCCAUUGAAGCUCGUCUGUCCAGCACAGAUAUCUACACCUGUGUCGAUGAUCCCUGACAUCCUCUGCUCUCCAUACGGCAUGGCAGUGCAGCUAUACCAGCAGGAGAAGGAUCUCCCAAUGCUGGGAGUCCUAGUAAAUGGAGUUUGGGCUCAAUUUGUGUCUACCCAGUGUGCCUACCGUGUCGACUCCCAACAAGAGAAUCUUAUCUUCUUCGUCUCUUUCAUUGCUCCUUGUAUCACCAUUGGAGAUAGACUGCAAGUCCAGCUUGUUUUUGAUAAGCAAGAAAUUAUCCUCUCAUGCCCUGUCCCCUCAACUGCAUCUCCUUCACGUCCUGAUGGUACACGGCAUAUACCAGGUACUGGUAGUCGUUCACCCCUGUUUCCUUCUCCUUCUCCAGUCCAGGAACCAAUUGCUCCACUUCCCGAUGAUCUCCACACUACAUACCGUGAAUACCCAUACACUAAAUUUCCGCAGUUCUACCCUCCUAGUCCGCAGCCUGCUGGCCCAAUUCCGCUCUCUCCUGGCAGUCUUCCUGGAGCCCCAUCACCUCAUCAAAUCCCAUCAAAUGCUUUACCUGGUGCAUUUGGAGUUUCAGUCCAGGAUCAGAUUGCUAAUCCUGAUUAUCUCCACAUUGUUCACUCUGGGUUUCCGUAUCCUAUUUUUCCUCAUUUUUCUUCUCCUGGAUUUCAGCCUGCCAGUCCCACUAAACCCAACUCUCCUCAAGUUCCCCGCCAACCCAAACUUCAGGAUUAUCUUCAGACACCUUUCUAUCUAACACCUACUAUAGCACCUUCCAUGCAUGGACAAGCUGCUCCUCCUUCCAGCCGACUUUUUCAUUCACCUAAACAUCCCUCUGGGCCACAUCACCAACUUCCACCCAGCUCAUUUGGUGUUUACCAUCUUUAUGCACACUUGUUCGACCCAAAAGAAGCUGACAUAAGGCUGCCUCCUAUGUCAUACCCUAACAUUAUGCGUCCACCUGAAGCAACACCCACCCAAAAACCUGCCAUCCCCAGAUAUCUUUUCCCCCAAGCCCCACUUUACUUCUUCCCGCCUCCACAUUCAGAACGGCUACAUCCCACCUGCCCCCCCUAUGCUAACACAUUUUGUGGCUACUACCAGCAUCCUGAUCCUUUUAGCUUCCCCUCCCAUUUGUCAGUACACCCUGCUGUGCCCCAGUACCCAACCGAGUCAGCGGCAGCUACACAAGAACCUGUGCCGCCCUCCCCAUCUAAACCCACUCCACCGCCCCCAUCUUAUCACUGUGAAGUGGGCAGUGUUGUAGUCUUUCUGCCUACUGCUCACCCACACCUUAUCCAGGUGAAAGAUCAAGAAAGAUGGCAGUCCCUAUCCAGUGUGUGUGGGCAUAAAAUACACAAGCCAACAAUAUCGACAGUAAUACUUUAUUCUCCUCUGCCUGGCUGUCACACCAAGUUACUGUCUCCCAUGGUCAUGUCCUUGUCCGUGAGGUAUUUGGACUUUUCAUCGAAGCAUUAUCUCACGAUGGACCUACAAUGCCCAUACCAAAGUUCCACUCCCCCACCAGUUACCCCAUCCACACCACCAACCCAAUUCGGCAAGAUUCUGAUAAACCGUACAGCUCCUCUGAAGCCCAAAGUCUUCUGCUCCUCCAGACAGAUGCUUGUGGAGCUUCCACCUGGUCCCAUCUCUGGAAUUGUUCUUAAAGAUGCACAAGGGAAGGAGACAAGUGUCCAGGAUGUUCCACAACACUGUGGGUAUUCUGCUAACAUGGGAAAAGAUGGCAAAAUCCAUUUGAGACUUCAGUUACAUACAAGCUGUCAAAUGAGUGUGCAGGAUAAUAUGUACAUCAUCACCGUUGCCUAUAUGACUCAAAGUAGAAAAACCGGGGCUCAGUUUUACUGUCCAGUUUCCAACUCUUUAGCUGGACAAGAGUGUAGCCUUCCCAGCGAACAACGUCUCCCCUGUGGCCAAGGCCCUAUAUCUCAGCCAUCAUGCCUCUCCAUGGGCUGCUGCUUCAGCAAGAACCCCCCUGUCUGCUAUUACCCCAUAGAUGAGUGCACAAUUGACCGCCACUUUGUCUUCUCUGUUCCUGCAUCACUCACGGAGCCACCCCUGUCCCCGUCCCUCUUGGUGGUUGCCAACAACUCCACCUGUAAACCAGUAAAAGCUACUUCCGAAUAUGCCUUGUUCAAACUCCCCAUGGAUGGCUGCGGGGCUCGCAGAAUGGAAAUGGGGAAAUCUUUGAUAUAUAUGGUGGAAGUUGUCAACAUGGUUCAGACGAUCAGCCUUAAUUAUGGCACCAUCACUAGAGAUUCUCCUGUUAGGUUGCUGGUGGAGUGCAGGUAUGUACCAGGUAGUGUCCGAACUGUGAGCUACUUGGUAAAAACUCCCACUCUUGGGCCGACCGUCCAGACUCAAGGGGUAUUUGGUGUGCAACUCAGACUUGCCAAAGAUGCUCAGUACACCAGCUACUACCCACAGUAUCACCAGCCCCUGCAGAUGCUACUGGGGAAACCCCUCUACCUGGAAGUGCGGAUGCUUAACGCCCCGGAUCCCAGUUUGGUGCUGCUGGUGCACUACUGUGUGGCUUACCCACGCUCUGGAAAAGCUGUGUGGGUGCUGCUUUACAACGGAUGCCCCAACCCGUUGGACCCAGCCACUCAGCAUGUUGUGCUGUCUCAUCCUCAACCACCAUCCCCUCAGGGUCAAACCCGUCGCUUCACGAUGAGCACCUUUCAGUUCCUUCCUGAUGAUGAGAUUAAGGAUCCAGAUGAGGAGAUUUACUUCAUGUGUUCAACUGAAGUCUGCUCGCCGCGUGAUGGCCCAUGUGUCGAGGGUUGUUUUGGUCAAUGAUGAUGGACAAUGAUUUAGUAAUGAGAGCUUUGAAUUAUUUAUCAAGACUGAUCCAUUUCCUGUUUUGACAGUUAUGGAAUGGGAGACUCGAUUGCAACAACCUGGCAGCAGACAUUGGCCAUUUAACCACCAUUUAAAAAAAAGGCUCUUCAAGGCCAUAGAGGGUGUAUAUAUGUGUGUCUGUUAAGAUGGCCAACACUCAGCAUUGCAAGUACUCAAUUUAAAAUAAAGUGUGAGGCAUUGUUUACACAAGCUUGCUUAAGAUUUUAAGUGGCUUAAUUGUUUUUUUUUAAUGUGCAUUAGAGAUUUGCAACAAGAACUACUAGUUUUUAUUUUACUGGCUUCCUCUUUGUUGGCGUUUCCAUUGUGAGCGUUCUUCUGAUAGGGCUCCAAAUGUGUCUGGUGAUAGGAUGGCAGUGCAGACUGCAAUUCAUCCCUAUUUAGUGGAACACUCAUACUGUAUGUGUUGGGUACAUGUGCAACAAAGAAUUAUCGUCCUCAUGUGGUCCCGCUCUAGUAGCCUUAGCACCCCUCUGUCAAGUCUAAGACAUCUGUGUGCCCCAUCACAUAGCGCCCAGUUUUUGCUCAUUAUUUCUUUCACCCCACCCCUGUCUGGUGCCAGGUAAACAAUGGACAAUUUAAAGAGACCGCUCCACUUAUUAAUCGGUUCCUGUGCAUUCAUUGAAUGCUAGCACCAUUGUAGUAUGUGCCUUCUGUCUUUUACAUUCAAAUUAAGUUAAUUGAAUUUACAGAAAGUGUGCAAUAAUUACUUAAACCAAAGUAGGCAGGUGUAUAAAUUUGGGCACCCUUGUUUUAUUGAUUUAAAUACCUUUUAGAACUAAUUAUUGGAACACAAAAUUAAUUUGAUAAGCACAUUGACCCUUGACCUACAUACACAGGUGAAGCCAAUCAUCUACAGAACCGUUGGAUGCAUAAGAGCAUAAUAUGAGCAUAUGAGCAUAAUAGGUCCCCUUUUAAGGGAUCAGCUGACCAGGUUUGGCCCACGAGUCAUAGUUUGCUCACCCGUGCCUUAUAUAUUUUAAGUUGAU